CUUAUCUUAAAAUCAUGGGUCCCUAGUUUUAUACUGGGGAGUGUGGUUGUGUAGAUGGGAAGGGGACUUGGGGUUCCUAAUAUGACAUUCUCAUUCUGCAGAUGAAAUGAGAGAAUUCUAGAGCAGUGAAGUGAUAAACCAAGGUCUUAAUUAGAUAAUAGAUACUGAUGGAGUCCAAUCUCAGAGAACUGAGGAGCAUCUCGACAUUCCUACAGUGCCAUGCGAAAUCCACGCAGUUAUCCUGGGCAUAGCUGUUAAUGCUGGCUGGGUCAUUAUAAGACUGGCUUCAAAAUUUUCAGGACCAGCACAACAUAAAAAUGUGGAACUCACUUGUUGAAUGGAUAAGAAUAAUUUAAUAUGCAACAGAGAAUAAAUGUGUGUGGGGCCCACCAAAGCACAGGGCCCUCUCGUGCUCUUUAGCCUAAGCACCCGUGAAACCAGCCCUCAAAGGAAAUCACUCUGGGAGACUUAGGACCCUGAGACUUUAGGCUGUUUCAGAAGAGGUAAAAAAGAACUGAAGGGGAGAAGGAGCAACACAUCAAGAGAGCCCUUAAGUGUUUCAAAAUCAUACCUAAAAUUGGUCUUGCAUAACACUGAAGUGAGAAGACUUCAUGACCAUCUCAGCACGAGCUUGCCAGAAUUCACAGCUCAUCCAUGGGCAAUAUGAGCCAACCUCUCCACGAGUUGAACACUCUGGUGACCCAUCACUUAUAACUUACUUCUCUUGAUUCAAAUCAACUCACCAUAAAAAUGAAUUUGUGAUCACUUGGUGAAUUGAAACUUGCCCAUAUAUUUCUACAAAAGAAAAGAUCAUUAUGAAAAUCAAAACUCUUAAUGUCCAGUUUUUUACCCAAAACAUUAAUUCAUACUGAUUCAUCAUGAUGAGAGACUAACAAUUAUUUUUUUUUAUUCCUGGACAUUUUUAUGCUAAUUUUAUUCCUAUAAUUUCUCUACCCCAAUAAUUAGUAGCACUAUAAUCAAGCUGUAAGAAAUGUGAUGUAUGGCAUACAAAAAGAUGUGUUGAAAACUUCUGUCUCUUGACUUUAUCUUAUUCAAUGAAGUUGUGAAAAAUCCCUCAAGAGUGCCUGGCUCUUACAUUUGCAAGUCAAAGGCGUGAAGACAGUUCCUUGAGAAAGCAUUGCCAGAUUCAUGGUUCUCCUACAAGAAGCAGCAGAUAUUCUGAGGUCAUUUUGCAUCCUAAUGUUGUGAUACUUCCUCAGUUACAUUGUCACUAGGAUCUAUGCAUAAUUAGUGAAUCCAUUAAUAAAUUAAUAUAAAGCAUAUGUAAACUAGACUGGAAAUAUGGGUAUACAAAUAUCAUUUUAACACUUAUUGAUUUUACAAGUUCAAAAAAAUACCUUUGUCUCACCUGUGUGGUAUGAUUCCUUUCCAAA
rnacentral:lncRNA from 1 species